rnacentral:rRNA from 1 species
CCAGCUUGCUGGGGGGAUUAGUGGCGAACGGGUGAGUAACACGUGAGUAACCUGCCCUUGACUCUGGGAUAAGCCUGGGAAACUGGGUCUAAUACCGGAUAUGACCAUCUGGCGCAUGUCAUGGUGGUGGAAAGCUUUUGUGGUUUUGGAUGGACUCGCGGCCUAUCAGCUUGUUGGUGGGGUAAUGGCCUACCAAGGCGACGACGGGUAGCCGGCCUGAGAGGGUGACCGGCCACACUGGGACUGAGACACGGCCCAGACUCCUACGGGAGGCAGCAGUGGGGAAUAUUGCACAAUGGGCGAAAGCCUGAUGCAGCGACGCCGCGUGAGGGAUGACGGCCUUCGGGUUGUAAACCUCUUUCAGUAGGGAAGAAGCGAAAGUGACGGUACCUGCAGAAGAAGCGCCGGCUAACUACGUGCCAGCAGCCGCGGUAAUACGUAGGGCGCAAGCGUUAUCCGGAAUUAUUGGGCGUAAAGAGCUCGUAGGCGGUUUGUCGCGUCUGCUGUGAAAGACCGGGGCUCAACUCCGGUUCUGCAGUGGGUACGGGCAGACUAGAGUGCAGUAGGGGAGACUGGAAUUCCUGGUGUAGCGGUGAAAUGCGCAGAUAUCAGGAGGAACACCGAUGGCGAAGGCAGGUCUCUGGGCUGUAACUGACGCUGAGGAGCGAAAGCAUGGGGAGCGAACAGGAUUAGAUACCCUGGUAGUCCAUGCCGUAAACGUUGGGCACUAGGUGUGGGGGACAUUCCACGUUUUCCGCGCCGUAGCUAACGCAUUAAGUGCCCCGCCUGGGGAGUACGGCCGCAAGGCUAAAACUCAAAGGAAUUGACGGGGGCCCGCACAAGCGGCGGAGCAUGCGGAUUAAUUCGAUGCAACGCGAAGAACCUUACCAAGGCUUGACAUGAACCGGAAAGACCUGGAAACAGGUGCCCCGCUUGCGGUCGGUUUACAGGUGGUGCAUGGUUGUCGUCAGCUCGUGUCGUGAGAUGUUGGGUUAAGUCCCGCAACGAGCGCAACCCUCGUUCUAUGUUGCCAGCGCGUUAUGGCGGGGACUCAUAGGAGACUGCCGGGGUCAACUCGGAGGAAGGUGGGGACGACGUCAAAUCAUCAUGCCCCUUAUGUCUUGGGCUUCACGCAUGCUACAAUGGCCGGUACAAAGGGUUGCGAUACUGUGAGGUGGAGCUAAUCCCAAAAAGCCGGUCUCAGUUCGGAUUGGGGUCUGCAACUCGACCCCAUGAAGUCGGAGUCGCUAGUAAUCGCAGAUCAGCAACGCUGCGGUGAAUACGUUCCCGGGCCUUGUACACACCGCCCGUCAAGUCACGAAAGUU